rnacentral:lncRNA from 1 species
AAACACACAAUAAAGAUAAAUAUUUACAGGUGCAACGGCAGUGCAGUCGAGUUUUCGGAAAUGGCCGUCGGUGAAGUGAAGACAGUGAGAAGAUGGGUACAAAAAAAGAAAGAUGUGGAAGACGAAGUUUAGGUGGGACUUGGGCCUUUUUUUCUCCCCGAAGUGCCCAUUAAGUGAGAAUCUAUUUGGAAUUGGAAAUAAAAGAAAAUCAGUGAUUGGUAGCCAUUAGCCAAACGCCAAAAUUCUACCUCGAAACCUAACUCCGACUCGGCGAUUCCCGGUCUUCUUCCACCCGCAGAUGCAUGCCGUCACCAAUCACGAACUCAG